rnacentral:tRNA from 1 species
GCCCAUGUAGCUCAGUGGUAGAGCACUUCCUUGGUAAGGAAGAGGUCCUCGGUUCAAUCCCGAGCAUGGGCUCCA